AACACAUGGAGUUUGAUCCUGGCUCAGGACGAACGCGCUUUGGCGUGCCUAAUACAUGCAAGUCGAGCGGAGAAUGAAAAGCUUGCUUUUUCAUUCUUAGCAGCAGACAGUGAAAUGUAACGUAAGAUAGCCUACCCUAUGGAGCUAGGAUAACCUCGGGAAACCGAAGCUAAUACCGGAUAAUCUUAGGAGUCACAUGGCUCGCCGUAAAAAUUGGGUUUACCAACACACUACUGGAUGGGCCCGCGGCGCGACAGCUGGUCGGUAGGGAUGACGGCCUGGCGGCGAUGCGUAGCCGACCUGAAGGUGAUCGGCCACACUGGGACUGAGACACGGCCCAGACUCCUACAGGAAUGUAGGAAUCUUCCGCAAUGGACGAAGUCUGACGGAGCAACGCCGCGUGAACGAUGAAGGCCUUCGGGUCGUAAAGUUCUGUUGUUAGGGAAGAACAAGUACCGUUCAAAUAGGUCGGUACCUUGACGGUACCUAACGAGAAAACCACGGCUAACUACGUGCCAGCAGCCGCGGUAAUACGUAGGUGGCAAGCGUUGUCCGGAAUUAUUGGGCGUAAAGCGCGCGCAGGCGGCGUUUCUUAAGUCUGAUGUGAAAGCCCCGGCUCAACCGGGAGGGUCAUUGGAAACUGGGGAACUUGAGUGCAGAAGAGGAGAGUGGAAUUCCAUGUGUAGCGGUGAAAUGCGUAGAUAUAUGGAGGAACACCAGUGGCGAAGGCAACUCUCUGGUCUGUAACUGACGCUGAGGCGCGAAAGCGUGGGGAGCAAACAGGAUUAGAUACCCUGGUAGUCCACGCCGUAAACGAUGAGUGCUAGGUGUUAGGGGUUUUUUCGAUGCCCUUAGUGCCAGUUAGCACAUUAAGCACUCCGCCUGGGGAGGAUUACGACCGCAAAGGUUGAAACUCAAAAGGAAUUAGGCAGGGGCCCGCACAAGCGGUGGGAGCAUGUGGUUUAAUUCAGAAGCAGCGCAGAAGAGCCUUACAGUCUGUGUAUCCUUAUGACAUCCCUAGAGAUAGGGCUUUCCCUUCGGGGACAUAAGUGACAGGUGGUGCAUGGUUGUCGUCAGGCUCAUUGUCAUUGAGAUGUUGGGUUAAGUCCCGCAACAGGCGCAACCCUUGAUCUUAGUUGCCAGCAUUUAGUUGGGCACUCUAAGGUGACUGCCGGUGACAAACCCAUUCGAGGAAGGUGGGGAUGACGUCAAAUCAUCAUGCCCCUUAUGACCUGGGCUACACACGUGCUACAAUGGAUGGUACAAAGGGCUGCGAGACCGCGAGGUUAAGCCAAUCCCAUAAAGCCAUUCUCAGUUCGGAUUGUGGCUGCAACUCGCCUACAUGAAGCCGGAAUUGCUAGUAAUCGCGGAUCAGCAUGCCGCGGUGGUCGUUCCCGGGCCUUGUACACACCGCCCGUCACACCACGAGUUUGUAACACCCGAAGAAGUCGGUGGGGUAACGCAGUGCUUGAGCUCAAGCCGCCUAAAGAUUGGACAGAUGAUUGGGGUGAAGUCGUAACUGGUAGCGUAUCGGAAGGUGCGGCUGGAUCACCUCCUUU
rnacentral:rRNA from 1 species